rnacentral:lncRNA from 1 species
GCCAAGCGGUACAGUCCAGGGCUCCCUCCCGUAGCUUGUCUUUCCACAGGCACUAAAAAGCAGCCAGGUGGGCUCUCAAUCUCCUAUUCCCAUACUUGGGAAAUUAAGGUUCUGGUUUUUGCAACCACAUUCAUUAUGUAUUUCAGAAAUCAGGGAUAACAAAGGCAAGUUAUGACUUGAGGAAAUGGCACCAGGAUACAAAAUGCAUCAACAGCAACACCCACCGCUUCGCUGGAGAGAGGUCUGCCCACAUCCCUCAUCCUCCAGGACUCUCUUUCCCAGCACCCAGGAAUCCACCGCACUCUGGGCCCUGCCUGAGCCGGCACAGCCCUCAUCUCCCAUAUUCUUCUUUCCCAUUAGACUCGCCGGGACCACUCUGGAGGCCUCGGCUUUCCCUCUGGGAUGAUCAUUCCAUGGCUAAAAAGACACAGCGAUAAAGAUGAAAACGCUCUAAAGUUAAGUGUUGCUUUAAUCCUCCUAGGCCGCCCAGCACACCCUCCCCCAGCAGCCAAAGCGCUGCCCCUCUCUGCGUUUGGACGUGAAAAAGAAAUCCCUCCCCCACAUUCCUCCCGUGGGACAAAAAGCAGGGAUGGGAGGGAGGAUUCAUUUCAAAGAAAGAGUGAGAGAUGCAGCCCUGAACCGCUGUCACUUAAUCCGUGACGGCAUAAAGCAGGCUCUCUUCUGUUUACUGGACACUGAUCAGAGAUAGGACAACAGCCAGGGAAGAGGAAAUGGGAAUCGUGAGAACCAAACCAAGGGGCUUCUCUCCCAGGCUAAUAUUAUUAUGCCUCCCUUAUAUUAGUCGUGGGAGUGAUGAAAGCUGCGCUCCCGGCCUCAAAGUUCUCCUCAAGUCAAACCACUAAGCUCCUGCUGAUCCAGUUCCCACUGACUCAUGGGAGGACUGCCCUCAGAAAAGGAAACUCAAGCCCCCAGAACUUGGCACAAAGUCCCAGAUUUUUGUCUGAUUCCAGUUUUCUCAUUUUGAAACAGAGUGUGUGGUGGGUUCUGUGGGAUGUCGCCCUGGUCCCCGCUCCAGGACUGAGAGUCAAAGAAGGAAAGAGAAGUAACGUGUGUUUGAACCAGUUUCCCUUUCCAGCGAUUGUCACUCCACUCCAUCAUGCCUCCCCAGUGUUCUGAUACCAUUGGACAGAAAGUCAACCUACCUACAGCUAGAAUCUCUGGAGGAGAGCUGCUUCGUUGGCUGCUGUAUCCACCAGGACCUAACCUGAGCAGUGCCGAGCGUGGUGGAAUGACGUGCAGACUACUGUACAUACCAGAAGGGUCACUCAUCCACUGUUUAUCAUGAGCAAAACUGGAAACAAUCUAAUUCUCUAACAAAUAAAUUAUGACAUGUGUGCA